rnacentral:rRNA from 1 species
UCCUCAAGUCCUCAUCACUCCCCCGAAGCGUUGCGCUGCGGCUAGCCUCUCUCUCCCCCUCUCCCCCGUGCGCGACAAGCGGCUAGGGUUUCGCCCUCCCCCGCCCCGCCGUCGCCUCCCGCCCCCGCCGUCGCAGCCCUCGCCUCCCGCCUCCCGCCUCCCGCAUACCAUCCCCGCCGCCGUUCCUCGCCCCUCCGCCGUCCGCGUCCUUCGCCGCCGGCACUUCCACCGAGCUCCCGCGCCAGCAGAUCGACGCCGCCGGGCCCGUCCGCCCCGUCUCGCCGCCGCCCAGCUCGUCCCCGGCCUCCGGCUCGCCUCCGCCCAGAGUCCUCCCAUUUUAGUCCCGACGUCUCUUCAUAGUGAUUUGACCGGCAGAGAUUUGAGCUGUGGGCUUUACUAUACUUCUGGUAGCUGAUUCUCUUCACCAAUUUUCAUCAGUGUGCUUGUGAGGUCUUGUGUUUCUUUUCUCGUAUAAGAGCCAACUGUGGGCAAGAAGUCUUCUUGACUGAGGGAUGCCGACAAGAAAAAAAGGACCUGCAAGAAAUGCAACUGUUGAGCAUGUUAAUACGAAAACUAGUAGACAACCUGGAAGAUCCACUCAGUCGGCAGCUCCUGAUAAGAAAGUCAAUGAUCUAAUUACUUCUUCCUCCAAAAAGCAGAAACCUGCCGAAGACCCUCUGAAGAAGAACCAAGUUCUCAGCGGUGGAAGGAAAUUAACAUCUCUAUGUGAUUCUGAUACUGAAAAUGGAGUUGCUGAUGUGCCAAGUAGUAGUAUGCUUGAUCACAAGCUGUCUCACGGAAAUGAUGACGAACCAUGUGAGAACAUAUUUUCUCAACCAUUCCACCAUCAUAAUGAAGACGGCAGUGAUGGCUUGAGCAAAGAUGGCGGGUGCGCUGAUCCUGAUGAGACUGAGGAGCUUGAUGAGUUUGACCCUUAUACCUUCAUAAAGGAUUUGCCUGAGUUAUCUAUGGUUGUACCCAAGUUUCGACCCGUUCUUCUUCCAAAGCAAACUCGGAGCUGCCCUAGAACCACCCUUGUCCUUGAUCUGGAUGAGACACUGGUGCAUUCUACUCUUGAGCCAUGUGAAGAUUCUGAUUUCACUUUCCCAGUUCAUUUUAAUCUCAGAGAUCACACAAUCUAUGUACGGUGCCGUCCAUAUCUGAAAGAUUUCCUGGAGAGAGUAGCCAGCAUGUUUGAGAUAAUCAUCUUCACGGCUAGUCAAAGUAUCUAUGCAGAACAACUACUUAAUGUUCUUGAUCCCAAAAGAAGGUUGUUCCGUCAUCGAGUUUAUCGUGAGUCUUGUGUCUAUGUGGAGGGCAACUACUUGAAGGAUCUAUCUGUUCUUGGGCGUGACUUGUCUCGUGUUGUCAUAGUUGACAAUUCUCCGCAGGCCUUUGGGUUCCAACUAGACAACGGCAUACCGAUCGAGAGCUGGUUCGACGACCCAAACGACAAGGAGCUCCUAGCACUGCUGCCAUUCUUGGAAAGUCUGGUUGAGGUGGAAGAUGUCAGGCCAUUCAUCGCAACUAAGUUCAACCUCCGCCAGAAGGUGGCCAGCGCGACUUCCCUCGCGAUGCACUUCUUUCCUAAUGCGGAGCGUGCCAACUGAAGCGCUCCCGCAGAAAACAGGCGAUCAAGUGCUCGAAAGGAUAUCUGGAAUUCAGAAUCCUUUGCUGUCGUGGUACAAUCAUGUUUCAUUUAAUUUCGAACCGCCAGAGAGACGGAUGUAUAAUUUGGGUUGUUGUAUGUUUCUAAAAACCGGUAAUCUUUAGGGAACCUUGUACAAGCAGUAGCCAGACCCAGAAGGGUUGUCAGUCGUGACCGCGUUGCGCGAUGGAUGCGCCAAGCAUUGUAAUAGGUCAGCAGAUAUUUGUCGGAAUUUGUUGUGCUCACUGAAGUUGCGUUGCAGCAUGUAGUUUCCAAGUAGAGUAGACAAGUCAGUCAGUGAGGAUUAUAGCUGCCAAUUGAGCAUUUGAGCUUUUAUAUCCCCAGUGGUGAUAUAGCUUUCUUCUGCCGUGCAUU